GGCGGCAAAUGAUGCAGAUAUCUUAUCCUACACUCUGAACAUGUUGUGUGGACUAUACUUCGCUUAUUAUCUGAUGCCAUU
rnacentral:snoRNA from 1 species